AGAGCGAACGCUGGCGGCAGGCCUAACACAUGCAAGUCGAGCGCCGUAGCAAUACGGAGCGGCAGACGGGAGAGUAACACGUGGGAACGUGCCCUUUGGUUCGGAACAACACAGGGAAACUUGUGCUAAUACCGGAUAAGCCCCUACGGGGAAAGAUUUAUCGCCAAAGGAUCGGCCCGCGUCUGAUUAGCUAGUUGGUGAGGUAACGGCUCACCAAGGCGACGAUCAGUAGCUGGUCUGAGAGGAUGAUCAGCCUCACUGGGACUGAGACACGGCCCAGACUCCUACGGGAGGCAGCAGUGGGAAUAUUGGACAAUGGGCGCAAGCCUGAUCCAGCCAUGCCGCGUGGAUGAUGAAGGCCCUAGGGUUGUAAAGUCCUUUCGGCGGGGAAGAUAAUGACGGUACCCGCAGAAGAAGCCCCGGCUAACUUCGCGCCAGCAGCCGC
rnacentral:rRNA from 1 species